AGGGAGGAAUAAUUCUGGAAGAGAAACAAAUAAGAAGAGACCAUGAUGGUAAGGAGCAGGAGAUACUGUAGUUCUUGAACCUGUCCUAGGUGCAAUAACCAAUCUGUAAUUGGGAGUACCCUGUUGCUGUAGCAGGUCAGAGUGGCUUUUUCCAGUAGAGAGAAACCCCUGGACAGGGACAACAGCAGAGGGACUGGUAGCCAAACGGGUGCAGCAUUUCGUACAUCAGUUUCUAUUCUGUGGAAUGGCUAAGCAGCAAAUGUCAAGCACAUGUGUGGCUUAUGACAGCAAGAAGGAAAAUGGAAGCAGGACACACAUAACAGAAGUUAACGCUGAGCAGAUUUACAAUCAAGAUGGCCCACAGAAUGACAGAAGACGUAACUUUCAGGGAGUUGUCUCUGGUCUCAGAGAGAUUCAAACUGUGACCUUAUUUUCGAUUUUAUAUAUAUAUCUUGGCUCAGGACAAGAGUGUACAUACUGCCAUGCAACCAAACCCACAAAUUAAAGCUUGUGUUUGAAACACUAUCGGAUCCUUAAUUAACUUUAAUGAUACCUCUGGGUACUGUUGUCACACAUUUCUGCUUCAAUAAAAACCAUUUUAAAAGCCUAUUGAA
rnacentral:lncRNA from 1 species